rnacentral:rRNA from 1 species
GAUGAACGCUGGCGGCGUGCCUAAUACAUGCAAGUCGAGCGAAACGACGAGGUGUUUGCUCCUCUGACGUUAGCGGCCGACGGGUGCGUACCAUGUGGAUAACAUACCUAUAAGACUGGGAUACCUUUGGGAAACCGUAGCUACUAACGGAUAAUAUAUUGCCCCGGAUGGUUCCCUCGUAAAAGACGGUUUUGCUGUCACUUAUAGAUGGCUCCGCGCAGCAUUAGCAAGUUGGUAACGUAACGGCUUACCCAGGCAACGACGCGUAGCCGUCCUAAAAGGGAGGUCGGCCAGACUGGAACAGAGACACAGUCCAGACACCUAGGGGAGGCAGCGGCAGAGAAUCUUCCGCAAUGGGCGAGAGCCGGACGGUGCAACGCCGCGUAAGGGAUGAAGGUCUUCGGAUCGGAGAACGCUGUAAUGAGGGAAGAACAAAUGUGUAAGUAACUAGGCACGUCAUGACGGUACCUAAACAGAAAGCCACGGCUAACUACGUG